rnacentral:rRNA from 1 species
CCUACGGGAGGCAGCAGUGGGGAAUAUUGGACAAUGGGCGCAAGCCUGAUCCAGCCAUGCCGCGUGAGUGAUGAAGGCCCUAGGGUUGUAAAGCUCUUUUGUGCGGGAAGAUAAUGACUGUACCGCAAGAAUAAGCCCCGGCUAACUUCGUGC